rnacentral:rRNA from 1 species
CGAACGCUGGCGGCGUGCUUAACACAUGCAAGUCGAGCGGUAAGGCCCCUUCGGGGGUACACGAGCGGCGAACGGGUGAGUAACACGUGAGCAAUCUGCCCAUCACAUCGGGAUAACUCCGGGAAACCGAAGCUAAUACCGAAUACGACCACCUCCGGCAUCGGAUGGUGGUGGAAAGUUCCGGCGGUGAUGGAUGAGCUCGCGGCCUAUCAGCUUGUUGGUGGGGUAACGGCCCACCAAGGCUUCGACGGGUAGCCGGCCUGAGAGGGUGACCGGCCACACUGGGACUGAGACACGGCCCAGACUCCUACGGGAGGCAGCAGUGGGGAAUAUUGGACAAUGGGCGAAAGCCUGAUCCAGCAACGCCGCGUGAGGGAUGACGGCCUUCGGGUUGUAAACCUCUUUCAGCAGGGACGAAGCGCAAGUGACGGUACCUGCAGAAGAAGCACCGGCCAACUACGUG